UGCCACCAAAAAUCUGAACGAGGUGACACAGAAAGAUGUGCCAGGCAAGAGAGCACCAACUUUCUGUUGAUGAAACCUUCUUCCUGGUUAAUCUGACUCUCUCAUCUGCUAAUCUCCCUCAUGGAAACCAUUUUCCCUCCUCACUCGCUCUCUUCCUCGAAAUUCAAAGCCUCAUCCUCCAAAAUCCUUUCGUCUUCUCCCUCUACUCGACCCAAGUUGAAUUCUCUCUUUUGCAUCAAACCCUUCCCUUCCAGUCACAGAAAGCUUCAAACGUUGUCUCUCAAGCUAUCCUUACCUAACUGCACCAGCCGGUUGAUCCAAGCUCAACAGGGACUUGCAGCUUUGGCUAUUUCCUUGGCUCUCAACUUCAGCCCACUAUUGCACAGUGACAAUGCGCUGGCUUCUGAGUUCGAUGUGCUUAACGAGGGGCCACCCAAAGAUUCGUACAUCUUUGAUGAUGCAGGAUUGCUUAGUCGAGUGAAAAGGUCGGAUUUGGAAGCCAGGAAGAAUUUUGGCAUCAAUUUUGUCACGGUUCGAAAGCUUACGAGCAAAGCUGAUGCUUUUGAGUAUGCUGACCAAGUUUUGGAGCGUUGGUACCCCACUGUAGAAGAGGGAAACAAUAAGGGUAUUGUGGUUCUCGUAACAGGUCAGAAAGAAGGAGCGGUCACAGGCGGUCCAGCAUUUGUCCAAGCUGUUGGAGAAAAGGGCCUUGAUGCCGCUGUAUCGGAGAACCUUCCAGCUGAAGCUCUUCCCUCCAAAUCACUCCUUUCUAGCAUUGAGAAUACGAAAUCCUGGUUUCAAUUCUAUGGCGAUGGGUUUGCCAUUCGCGUCCCACCUGAGUUCCAGGACAUCAAUGAACCCGAGGAUUAUAAUGCGGGACUCUCUCUUUAUGGAGACAAGGCAAAGCCAAAGACUUUUGCUGCACGGUUUGCAUCACCCGAUGGAUACGAGGUUCUCAGCGUUAUUACUCGCCCAACCAAUCAACUAAAAAUCACCUUCUUAGAGGCACAAGACAUAACUGAUUUAGGCUCUUUGAAGAAUGCGGCAAGAAUAUUUGUUCCAGGUUUAGGUUGUCCCUUUUCCACACUGCAUCAGCCAAACAAUCAGCCACCAUACCCCUUCAUCAUCGUCAUGCUUUAAACAAAUAUGCCAGUCUUUUUCCAACAGACCUCUGAUCUAGUGGAUAAACUGGAAAGUGCGCACCCUGAUUAAACUAGCAGCAACAUGAGAGUGAGCUCAACCCAAAGCUUCUUAUAGCCAUUUCCACACCAGCGAGUAACCCCGGCAAUUCAGCCUCCAAAAUACUCUGCGCAUGAGGGGCAACACUGUUCUCUGCUCGAACAAUAAAAAUCAAGGAAGAGGAUGGUUUCAGGUAAAUUCGAUUUCAAAAGGAUUAGAAUAGAACUAUCUAACAGUUGAGGGAAUUCUGAAAUGUCAAGGAUUACUGCCCGUAGCAAAGCACUUGUGGGGAGGGCCAGUCAUGAAUCUUGGAUGAAAUUAGUUUAAUGUGUAGAUGCUCUUUUUCUCCCCUUGGAGAGAAGGAGAUCACAUUAACAGCUACAAAUAGACUUACGGCAUGAGACCAAAUAUUAAUUCCUUCUCGGUGUUUUCGACUGUUGAAAGAAAUAUUCAUGCUCUCUAAAUGUUUUACUGGACACGUGGAAUUGUCUGCAUGGCCGAAUUAAUCUUUCAAGCAGUUUCGGUGUUAUCUGCAAGCAACCAUUUUGAAGCGCUGCUUGUUACGCAUACAUUUAACUUUCACAGAAAUAUUAUUCCACUGCAAUAUUAGCUUUUCUGAUUUCAGGACGUACUAUUUCUAUGAAUUUGGAAGAGAUGACGAGCACGUAGCAUUAAUGGCAGGUGUUAGCGGCGGAAAGGCAAUUAUUGCUGGAGCUACGGCGCCACAAUCCAAGUGGGACGGUGAUGGUGUGAAACUUCGUUCUGCUGCUAUAUCA